GACGAACGCUGGCGGCGUGCCUAACACAUGCAAGUCGAACGGAAAGGCCCUGCUUUUGUUGGGUGCUCGAGUGGCGAAGGGGUGAGUAACACGUGUGUAUCCUCCCCUUAUCUUUGGGAUAACUUCAGGAAACUGCGGCUCAUAUCGCCUAUGAUCUCCUGCUCCAUGGUGUGGGUUGGUAAGUUUCGGCUGUUGGGGAUCGACUCGCGGCUUAUGAGCUUCAUGGUCGGGUAGGGGAUUACCAAGGCUUUGACGGGUAGGCGGCCUGGGAGGGUUAACGGCGACAAGGGGACUGAGAGACGGCCCAGACUCCAACGGGAGGCAGCGGUGGGAAAUAUGGCACAAUGGGCGGAAGCCUGAGGCAGCAACGCCGCGUGCGGGAUGACGGCCUUCGGGUUGUAAACCGCUUUCGCCUGUGACGAAGCGGGAGUGACGGUAAUGGGUAAAGAAGCACCGGCUAACUACGUG
rnacentral:rRNA from 1 species